CAAUUCCUGUAACUGUCUCUGAAUUUCAACGGGAUUCAAAACAUGAUCUGUCCCCACGACUUCCGGUAUCGGAGGCGGAGGCGGGUUCACCGGUUCCACCACGGGAUCACGGAUUUUCACCGGCGGAGGUUGAGGGAUCCCCUUUUCAAUCCCAAACAAGGAAUCCAAAUUGUUUGGUGGAAUCACAACUCCACCCGGAGUCGUGCCGGAAUUGAAUGCCUCUACGAACCCUUCCCGCUCCGAUUUCGGCCCUUCGGAACCGAAAUUCCCUAGGUCAG
rnacentral:lncRNA from 1 species